GCAAGAUGCAAACACGUCUGCCAUGGAGGAAAUUAAACGUCAUAAAGAAAAGCCCAAUUAGGGUUUAAUGUCCGAACAUUACCAUUUCCUCCAGAAAACAAUGAAGUUCACUCGCUGACGUGGCUUGGAGUUCAGGCCACGACCCGCUCGGAAGAGAAGAUGGACCUGUCCCAGCCAGUCGGGUAGACGCCUCCGAAAAUGGAACCAAAAGGAAUGCGAGACUGCAGCCCUCAUCCUGGUUUUUAUGCUGCAGCCAUCCUCCGCCUCUUCCCUGAAGCGUGUGCAGGAAGGAUUCCCCCCCUGCAUUUCUAUGAAUAUUGCCUAGAAAUGAAGCUGUCUGGAGACUAAAACGGGGGAGACAAAUAUAUAUAUAUAGAGAGAGAGAGAGAGAGAGACCGGCGGAAAUGAAAAUGAACCGUUUCUAGGCUGAAUGAGCAGAUUUUGUGAGCUGGACAGUUUGCAUCUGAUGUCUCUCUCGAGCUUAAUUGCUACUUUGAGGAGUUGCCUGUUGUUGCUCAGUCCCCCAAAUAAAAAUAAAAUAAAUACAAAACCAAUAAAUUCCCCUUUAUUAGAGGCUUCUGAGCCCCUUUGCAAUAUUGUUCCUGCUUUAUCGAGUGCCUUGCUUUUUUCCCC